CAAACAGUGACAUUAUGACUGCAUUCUCACUGCAUCAGCUUCAUCUACAGACGCUGAGGAAAACACGCCAUCCUGCGCUCUAAUCUUGACAUAGUGGAACACAUCUUUUCUCUGUGUCAUAAAGUAAAGAGCAGCUGACAGGGACGAGUCACCAGUCGAGUGACAGACAGAUCAGGACAGGCCGAUGUUGACCAGCUCUUCUGCUGCUCAAAAAGAAAUGCUACCAAGAUCAGCUGCUAGACAAGAACGAUAUCCAGAUAUCCAUCAGUCAACCUGGAGCACAUGGUGGGUUUAGAUG